AGCAGCCGCGGUAAUUCCAGCUCCAAUAGCGUAUAUUAAAGUUGUUGCAGUUAAAAAGCUCGUAGUUGAAUUUCGGGGUUAGUAGAUUGGUCAUGCCUCUGGUACGCACUGGUCUUACUGAUUCCUCCUUCCUGAUGAACCGUAAUGCCAUUAAUUUGGUGUUGCGGGGAAACUGGACUGUUACUUUGAAAAAUUGAGUGUUUAAAGCAGGCUAACGCUUGAAUACAUUAGCAUGGAAUAAUGAAAUAGGACGUUCGAUCUUAUUUUGUUGGUUUCUAGGAUUGACGUAAUGGUUAAUAGGGAUAGGUUGGGGCAUUAGUAUUCAAUUGUCAGAGGUGAAAUUC
rnacentral:rRNA from 1 species